rnacentral:rRNA from 1 species
GAUGAACGCUGGCGGCGUGCUUAACACAUGCAAGUCGAACGGAAAGGCCCAAGCUUGCUUGGGUACUCGAGUGGCGAACGGGUGAGUAACACGUGGGUGAUCUGCCCUGCACUUCGGGAUAAGCCUGGGAAACUGGGUCUAAUACCGGAUAGGACGAUGGUUUGGAUGCCAUUGUGGAAAGUUUUUUCGGUGUGGGAUGAGCUCGCGGCCUAUCAGCUUGUUGGUGGGGUAAUGGCCUACCAAGGCGUCGACGGGUAGCCGGCCUGAGAGGGUGUACGGCCACAUUGGGACUGAGAUACGGCCCAGACUCCUACGGGAGGCAGCAGUGGGGAAUAUUGCACAAUGGGCGCAAGCCUGAUGCAGAGACGCCGCGUGGGGGAUGACGGCCUUCGGGUUGUAAACUCCUUUCGCUAGGGACGAAGCGUUUUUGUGACGGUACCUGGAGAAGAAGCACCGGCUAACUACGUG